UAAUACGUAGGGUGCGAGCGUUAAUCGGAAUUACUGGGCGUAAAGCGUGCGUAGGCGGUUCGUUAAGUCAGCUGUGAAAGCCCCGGGCUCAACCUGGGAACUGCGGUUGAAACUGGCGAACUAGAAUCUGGCAGAGGGGGGUGGAAUUCCACGUGUAGCAGUGAAAUGCGUAGAGAUGUGGAGGAACACCGAUGGCGAAGGCAGCCCCCUGGGCUGAGAUUGACGCUCAGGCACGAAAGCGUGGGGAGCAAACAGGAUUAGAUACCCUGGUAGUCCACGCCCUAAACGAUGUCAACUAGGUGUUGGAGGAGCAAUCCUUUGGUACCGCAGCUAACGCGUGAAGUUGACCGCCUGGGGAGUACGGUCGCAAGAUUA
rnacentral:rRNA from 1 species